rnacentral:rRNA from 1 species
AGUGAACGCUGGCGGUAGGCCUAACACAUGCAAGUCGAACGGCAGCACAGUAAGAGCUUGCUCUUACGGGUGGCGAGUGGCGGACGGAUGAGGAAUACAUCGGAAUCUACUUUUUCGUGGGGGAUAACGUAGGGAAACUUACGCUAAUACCGCAUACGACCUACGGGUGAAAGCAGGGGAUCUUCGGACCUUGCGCGAUUGAAUGAGCCGAUGUCGGAUUAGCUAGUUGGCGGGGUAAAGGCCCACCAAGGCGACGAUCCGUAGCUGGUCUGAGAGGAUGAUCAGCCACACUGGAACUGAGACACGGUCCAGACUCCUACGGGAGGCUGCAGUGGGGAAUAUUGGACAAUGGGCGCAAGCCUGAUCCAGCCAUACCGCGUGGGUGAAGAAGGCCUUCGGGUUGUAAAGCCCUUUUGUUGGGAAAGAAAAGCAGCAGGUUAAUACCCCGCUGUUCUGACGGUACCCAAAGAAUAAGCACCGGCUAACUUCGUG